rnacentral:tRNA from 1 species
UGCGGGGUGGAGCAGUGGCAGCUCGUUGGGCUCAUAACCCAAAGGUCACAGGUUCGAGUCCUGUCCCCGCUA